AAAGACCUUGUGCUUUUGGAGCGGCCGAUGUCUGAUUAGCUAGUUGGUGGGGUAAGGGCCUACCAAGGCGACGAUCAGUAGUUGGUCUGAGAGGGCGACCAGCCACACUGGGACUGAGACACGGCCCAGACUCCUACGGGAGGCAGCAGUGGGGAAUUUUGGACAAUGGGGGAAACCCUGAUCCAGCCAUGCCGCGUGAGUGAAGAAGGCCUUCGGGUUGUAAAGCUCUUUCAGCCGGAACGAAACGGUCACGGCUAAUACCUGUGAUCACUGACGGUACCGGAAGAAGAAGCACCGGCUAACUACGUGCCAGCAGCCGCGGUAAUACGUAGGGUGCGAGCGUUAAUCGGAAUUACUGGGCGUAAAGCGUGCGCAGGCGGUUUUGUAAGUCAGAUGUGAAAUCCCCGGGCUUAACCUGGGAACU
rnacentral:rRNA from 1 species